AAAGGGACCUGAACAAGGAUAGUCACUGGGGAACAUCUUACAGAAGCAAAAAGUGGAAACAAUCCCAACUCAGAAGAGUAUAAAGUGAAAUGAAGUCCCUCUGCUACAAUGGCCCUCCGCCCUCCUCCCAGACGUGACUGCGAUUAACAACAGCUGCGCUGGACGGCUUGCGGGAUCUUAGUUCCCCAACCAGGGGCUGAACUGGGCCACAGCGGUGAAAGUGCCGAGUCCUAACCACUGGACCGCCAGGAAAGUCCCCCAGAGGCUAGUCUUGAACGCAUCAUCCUUUGAGGACUGGGGGCGUUUGAGCCAAACAUACCACAAGCUUGAAGUCCUAGGAUGCCUUACCUCAGUGGAGCCUGUGAAGGCCACUUUGUCCACAUCCUCAUGGGAGGCAAUGGCGGCCCCAGCCGUGGGGCCAAAUCCAGGUAUGAUAUUGACGACGCCAGGAGGAAAGCCGGCCUGUAGGCAAACACCAGGGACACUGGGAGUCGUUCUCCCGCUCCAAAGGGUCUGGACAGAGGAAUACACAUCCCCUCCCAGAAGCUGAGGCAGUCUGCCCAGCACACAGGUGAGCAGUCUUACCGGGUACUGCUCAGGAAUUCCAAAUGGUGCAAGGAGGCUGUUUUGUGGGAUUCCCUGUGCCCUUUGCCCCUGCCCCCAUGGCACUCACUUAGAAUGGUUUUCAUUCUUCAGAGGGGUCUUGCAAUGAAACCCAAUGUAGAAGA